AUCACCUGGGGAUCUUGUUAAAAUGCAGAUUCUGAUUUAGUAGGACUGCAGUGUGGCCUGAGAUUCUGCAUUUCUAACAGGCUCCCAGAUGAUGGUGG
rnacentral:pre_miRNA from 1 species